CAUAUCAAUAAGCGGAGGAAAAGAAACCAACAGGGAUUGCCUUAGUAACGGCGAGUGAAGCGGCAACAGCUCAAAUUUGAAAGCUGGCUCCUUUGGAGUCCGCGUUGUAAUUUGUAGAGGAUGAUUCGGCAAGGGCUCCCGCCUAAGUCUCCUGGAACGGAGCGUCAUAGAGGGUGAGAAUCCCGUAUGCGGUGGGCUGCCUAAGCCAUGUGAAUCUCCUUCGACGAGUCGAGUUGUUUGGGAAUGCAGCUCUAAAUGGGAGGUAAAUUUCUUCUAAAGCUAAAUACCGGCCAGAGACCGAUAGCGCACAAGUAGAGUGAUCGAAAGAUGAAAAGCACUUUGGAAAGAGAGUUAAAAAGUACGUGAAAUUGUUGAAAGGGAAGCGCUUGCAGCCAGACUUGUCCGCAGUUGCUCAGCCGGUCUCCUGACCGGUGUACUCUUCUGCGGCCAGGCCAGCAUCAGUUCGGGCGGUCGGAUAAAGACCUCGGGAAUGUAGCUCCUCUCGGGGAGUGUUAUAGCCCGGGGUGGAAUGCGGCCAGCCUGGACUGAGGAUCUCGCUUCGGCUAGGAUGCUGGCGUAAUGGCUGUAAG
rnacentral:rRNA from 1 species